ensembl:lncRNA
GGGCCUGUUCCUGUGGCAGCGCGCUGCACCCGCGCCUUGUCCCGCUCUGCUCUUAGAGCUUCUCGGCCCCCAAAAGUUUCUAGAGUUAAGAGAAUCCGUAUCUGGGAAAGUUCUUGACGUUCAGAUGCCCGCUUGGGGCCUUGCAAGUGCUGCUGGCAAUCCUGCCCUACUGUAUGUCCCUGUCCCCCUAUCGUGCCCAUGUUGAGUAUGCUGCAAAUGCGGAUGUGGAAACAGCUACGAAAUGCUGGUCCCCAAAGUGGCUAGGGGAAGUGCUACAGGUUAGCAAGUGGGUCUAGUACAGACACUCAGAGAGGUAACAAAUCUAUGGCCAACCCAGCUGAGCCAUUGGCACCUUUCUUUCAGGUAGUAGUAGCAGAGGGACAGACUGACGCUUGCUGACAGUAUGAAAUCAGAGGAAAGUGUUUGCAGGCACCUUCUGCAUAAAUGGUGAAGGCAUUUCUGCACUCUUCUUGAUGAUAAAGUAGUGGUUCAAACAUGGAGGUAUUCACAAAGCAUUAAAGGCAUGUUAUAUAAGCUGUUAUAAUGUUCAGGAGUUUUGAUUAUUAACUAAAUGAACAUUUUCUGCUACCCUUUCUAGAACUAAUAAAUUUAGGACUUCAUUCUGGGAAACUUAAGUUGGGUGUACAGUACAGGAGAAAUAUAAACCUGCUGGAGGAGGAGGGCCGCACACAUGAUCCAGGGGGUGGAACACCUCUCCUAUGAGGGCAGGCUGAGGGAACUGGGGCUGUUCAACCUGGAGAACUGGAGACUCCAGGGAGACCUCAUAGCAGCCUUCUAAAGGGGGACUAUAAGAAGGAAGGAAACAGACUUGUUAGCAAGGUCUGUUGUGAUAAGACAAGGGGAAAUGGGUUCAAACUAAAACAGGAGAUUUAGACUGGCUAUAAGGAAAAGGUGUUUUACAGUUAGAACAGUGAAACGCUGGUACAGGUUGCCCAGACGGGUGGAUGCCCCGUCCCUGGAGACAUUCAAAGUCAGGCUGGACAGAGCACUGAACAACCUGCUGUAGCUGUAGGUGUACCUGUCCAUUGCAGGGGAGUUGGACCAGGUGACCUUUAGGGUCCUUUCCAGCUCAGAUUAUUCUGUGGUGUACAUUAGGCAGCUGCUGCAGCAUAGCAUACUGAGAAGGCUGACUCUCUGUGGCACCUCUGCCUAAUGGAAGUGUAAACCUACACAAAACAAAACAUAUGUGUGUGCAUGUCAUUCUGCUGUAGGACAUCACUGGUGAACAUACUGCAUAGUACGGAGGUGGCUGUGCCAGCAAUAUCAGCUGCAGAGGGGGGUUCAGAGGAUGGCUUAUGGGACGCCUUGCACAGGCAGCUCAGGAAUGCAUCUGACCUCUCACUGUGGUCAGCAGCAUUUAUGUGUGUAGUUUUAGUGCUAUUAGUAAUAUUUUGUUAAAAAUUUCUGCCUACUGAAUCAUACUGACAAAAAAGUUUAACAGUAAUCCAGCAGCAUGGCUGUGCACUUUUCUUCCAGAAUAAGGAAUUGUAAGGAGACCACUACAGUGAUGUAGUUAUGCCAACAAAUCUCUCCAGGUAGAGAAGAAUUUGGGCUUGUUUAGCCCAUCUAGCACUGACCACCUCAAAUGUAACUCUUGGCAGAUGAACAACAAACAAAAUGCUGGCAAUACUUUUAAAAGAAACCAAUUCAUAGAGACUGUGUUUGUUUCAAAAUAUAUUCAUUUGUGGAAAUUAUAUUGGUUCAUAAUAAAACUAAGAUUCAGGUCGGUCCUGGUCUCUCAUCC